rnacentral:lncRNA from 1 species
AUACUAAAAAUCCUUCAUUCCCUUGACUUUCCAGGUAUAUUAAGCCUCUGAAAUGUUGACUACUUACCUUUUAGAUUAACAGACUCCAGCAUUCCAAACUGGGAAGGAAGGUCACAGGGAAACUGUGGAGGAAGAAACUCUUUCCCUGGAUCCUCUAUCAGCUUGUGGUGGUGAGUGGAGUGAUUCCUUCCUUGGUUCUUCAGUGAGGAGAUCCUCUCUCUUGGCACGUUGGUGGGACACUCCCUUCAGCCUGAGUUCUGGAUGUUCAUUAAGAGUCUAUCUGGUGAGAUUCUUGGUGGUCUUAGACUCAUGUGCACCGAAGGUUCUUGGCAUAUUCUUGAGCAUCUCCUGGCUCUUCAGAUUUUGGCUUCCUAAUUAGGAUUCUGGAUUCUGGUAAGAUUUGCUUUUUGAUUCGCAUUUUCAAU